rnacentral:lncRNA from 1 species
CGUUUACUGACCUCAAAAGUUAUGAAACCUUUUUAAAUGGUGCCAUAGUUUCAGCAUUUACCAUGAUAUGCCUUAUAUGUUUUUCAUUGCAUGGCAAAGACUACAUUGACAAUGGUAAAACAAGGUCCAUGCCAAUAAACAAUUUACUGAUGAAGAUCUUCCAAUGUUUUAAUGUUGUUAGAAAAUCAAUUUAAAACUAUUAAAUGCUUGUGUAUUUAUUGAAAAAUAGGAAAUUCAUUAAUUCAUUCGCUUUACACACUCCUGUCACACACUUAUCAGAACAAGAAUCAAAGUUACAGAUUUUGUAGUGUUUUGAUUGAUCAUAAAGUACAUGUAACAAUGUGACUUUGAAUACAAAUGAAAAAAUCUUGGUUUUUUUUUAAAGAAAUAGCGAUUUUCUAGAAGAACUUAAAAUGAAACAUUCUUAGACAAAUUAAAGUAAAUAAACGCAAACGUUUAGUAUAGA